rnacentral:tRNA from 1 species
UGGAUGUACUUCAGUGGCAGAACACUUGCCUAGCAUGCAAGAGGCUCAGGGUUCCAAACCCAACACCACAA